rfam:Tannerella sp. oral taxon BT063 isolate Cell 1/3 contig_2519917725, whole genome shotgun sequence.
AGACACGUGGAAAGAUUUGUAGCGCUUGCAACCACAGGAAAAAAUGCUAAACGGCCAUCC